AUGUUAUUAUUGAACAUUUAGGUUCAGGUUUCAAAUUGACGGACAGCAGCAACGGUUCACUAGAUGUAGACAAUCCAUGCUUGUUGAUAUUCCAUCAGGCUCCGAUGAUGAAGAUGAAGUGGUUUGUAGACAGCAAAAUGUGAGG